UCUUAUUGAUGAGCAAAGAAAGUGGUUUCCUGAGUUGAAAUUUACUCCUGGUGAAGAUGCUGUGAA
rnacentral:pre_miRNA from 1 species